AUGCCUGUUCGAGCGUCAUUUCAACCCUCAAGCCCCCGGGCUUGGUGUUGGGGAUCGGCGUGCCCUCGCGGCGCGCCGUCCCCGAAAUCUAGUGGCGGUCUCGCUGUAGCUUCCUCUGCGUAG
rnacentral:rRNA from 1 species